rnacentral:rRNA from 1 species
GCGAACGCUGGCGGCAGGCUUAACACCUGCAAGUCGAGCGGGCAUCCUUGUGGUGUCAGCGGCAGACGGGUGCGUAACGCGUGGGAACGUGCCCUUCGGUUCGGAAUAACUCAGGGAAACUUGAGCUAAUACCGGAUACGUGCGAGAGCAGAAAGGUUUAUCUGCCGAAGGAUCGGCCCGCGUCUGAUUAGCUAGUUGGUGAGGUUACGGCUCACCAAGGCGACGAUCAGUAGCUGGUCUGAGAGGAUGAUCAGCCACACUGGGACUGAGACACGGCCCAGACUCCUACGGGAGGCAGCAGUGGGGAAUAUUGGACAAUGGGGGCAACCCUGAUCCAGCCAUGCCGCGUGAGUGAUGACGGCCUUAGGGUUGUAAAGCUCUUUUCUCCGGGACGAUAAUGACGGUACCGGAGGAAUAAGCCCCGGCUAACUUCGUG